UACGGGGGGAGCAAGCGUUGUUCGGAUUUACUGGGCGUAAAGGGCGCGUAGGCGGCACGACAAGUCACUUGUGAAAUCUCUGGGCUUAACUCGGAACUGCCAAGUGAAACUGUCAAGCUAGAGUGCAGAAGGGGCAAUCGGAAUUCUUGGUGUAGCGGUGAAAUGCGUAGAUAUCAAGAGGAACACCUGAGGUGAAGACGGGUUGCUGGGCUGACACUGACGCUGAGGCGCGAAAGCCAGGGGAGCAAACGGG
rnacentral:rRNA from 1 species